rnacentral:rRNA from 1 species
UCUGGUGAUUUAUCGCUGGGGUCACACCCGUUCUCAUUCCGAACACGGCAGUUAAGACCAGUUGAGGCGAUGGUAGUCGUAAGGCGAGAGUAGCUAGUCGCCAGAA